UUUGGUUUUCCUUCAGAUAUUAGAGGAAGAACAACCAAAUCUCCAGCUGCUUGGUGGAAAACAUAUGGUUCUUCAACUCCAAACCUACAAAAGUUUGCUGUAAAGGUUCUGAGUCUCACAUGUAGUGCAAGUGGUUGCGAAAGAAAUUGGAGUGUAUUUGAGCAUUAAGAAAAGAAAUCGGCUAUUUCAAGAACGCUUGGACAAUUUGGUAUAUGUGAAGUACAAUAGAGCGUUGCUACGCCGACACACUUUUGGGGAUAUCACAACACCUAUUGAUUUGGCAAAUAUUGAUGAGAGUACUGAAUGGUUGCUUGGUGAAUUAGAAAAAGAUGAUGGGGAUGAUGAUGAUGAUUCUCUUGUUUUCAUGAAUGACGUAUUGACCUGGGGUGAUGUUGGUAGAGCAGCUGGAGUUUCUGAAUCUCGUUAUGAAUCGAGAACGGCUGCAAGAUCAACACCACCAGUUGAAACUCCAUCAUUUCGAAGGCCUCGUGCAAUGACAGGUGCAUCCUCUUCGCAAGUUAAUGAUGAUGAAGAGGAGGAAGAAUUUGUGAUGGCCGUUGUUGAAAAUGAAGAUGAUUUUGGAAAUCUUGAUGAUGAGUAGUUUUAGUUAUAAGUUUUUUAUGUACUUAUUGCAUUCUGUUUAUUAUGACUUACAACUUAUUUUUAUGUAUUAAUG